rnacentral:tRNA from 1 species
GCUCACAUAGCUCAGUCGGUAGAGCACUUCCUUGGUAAGGAAGAGGUCAUCGGUUCAAUUCCGAUUGUGAGCACCA